AGGCAGACUUUGAAACAUUUAUCAAGGCUGAUUCCACAGUCAAAUGGGGAAAAAAAAGUUGCGAUAUUUCUAGUGACUGCAGUAAUACCGAAUAUCAGGCUCUGUGUAUCGGGGUGAUCGAUCUGAUUCCGCUUGUUUUGCCUUGCCAUGCAAGGUGAAUUUCUAUCCCCUGGAGUGCAAUAGUUGAAUGCUUUUGCAAGUAUCAGCAAGCUACCUAUUCUGCUGUGGAGAAAACAGGCUCACUGCUACUGACAUUGAUCACGGUAUCUGAAUUAUCUGGAAGAGAGACAGUAUCGAUGAGGUUAUUCAGCCCACUGUGACAGUACUGGCUAAAAGUUCCUAAGUAGUUCCACCAUCUUCCCUGCUGCCAUGGCAAUAAUUCUCCUGCAUGCCUAUGUUUAAUAACUUUCGAUGAUGAAAAGUACGCUGAUGACGAAAUUGCAGCCUAACGUGACUUAGCAUCAAUAGGAUGUCCACCA